GGUUCCUCUGUGAAGCCUUGGCUGCCCUGGAACCCACUCUGUAGACCAGGCUGUCCUCGAACUCACAGAUUCACCUGCCUUUGCCUCCUGAGCGCUGGGAUUAAAGGCAUGCAUCACCACUGCCUG
rnacentral:miRNA from 1 species